UCUACCCGCGUGCACGCCCUCUCCUGCAUACUCAUCCCUCUCCCCGCAUAGACGCCCUAUCCCCAAGUCUGUCCCUUCCGGGGGCCGGAUCGCCUCGGCCGCGUAGAGGGUGGACUCACCUGCAAAACGUGCCAGGACAAUGACCGCACCCGCUAGGCCCUCCAGGCCGCGGUGCGCCUGCGCGGACAAGGCCGGACUACACCUCCCAGAAGCCCGCGCGCGGCCGGGCGAACCCGAGCGGAGCCGAGGCCGCAGGGAGCCCCCCCGUCUCCCAGAGGCCUCCGCGGAUCCCGUGACAAGCGGGACCGGUGUGAACCACGGAGAUGCAGAGGAGCCCGGAGCCCAGGCUGCUGAAGACCUCUCCCGGAGGCCGCCGGGGCGGGCCGUCCGCGCUCCCCGGACGCCAGGAGCGAGCGGGAGGGCCAGGUGCAGACACAGGCUGGGCUGGCAGUCCUGGGACGUGCCCUGGGCUUUGCCCUUCACGGAGAAAGUGACCGGACCUCUGGCCCACUGGGGUCUGCUGUCCCCGCCCUUUCCUCGUGUAAGCCCGACCCACUCCUCGCCUGAGCUUUCCACGACACUCCUUUUUGACCUGCUGCCCCACUCUCAAGUAGAAAAUGAAAACAGAUUAGCUCUUUAAUCAACUUGGUGCAGUUUUGCCUUCCUGAGAUUCCAAAAGAGAGCCACGUACGGUGACACCUCGGGAGGCUGAGGCCAGAGGAGCUCAAGUUCCAGGCCAGCCUCAGCAACUUAGGCCCUGCCUCAAAAUAAAAGAAAGCGCAGCUCAGUGGUGCAGCACCCCUGGAUUCAAAAUUCCCAUUACCAAAGGUUGAAAAGGAGAGAGCAGUGCCAACUGCCUUUCCAACUCCAGCAAGAAUGUGAUUGGCCAGGUCCUUCGGAACCACGCGGUAGAGCAGGGCCAGUUACUCAGCUGAAAAGAUGCGGACGGGGGCAAGGGACACUGCACGGAGAAACGUGCCUUCAGCGCCGCAUCGUGUUUCCGAUGCCGGGUUCGUACUGUACCGCGCAAGGUCCUCUCGGUGUCGUUUUCACGUAGCUCUCUUUCAUGUCUAUAUGUGCAUUUACAUCUAUUUUCCUAACAGCUGCAUAGAUUCUACUGAAUGAAUACACCAUGAAAUUUCA